AUUGAACGCUGGCGGCAGGCCUAACACAUGCAAGUAGAACGAGCGGCGGACGGGUGAGUCACGUCUGGGAAACUGCCUGAUGGAGGGGGAUACCUACUGGAAACGGUAGCUAAUACCGCUUACCUUCAGUUUUGCCCAGAUGGGAUUAGCCAGUGGGUGGGGUAAUGGCUCACCUAGGCGACGACCCCUAGCCGGUCUGAGAGGAUGACCGGCCACACGGGAACUGAGACACGGUCCAGACUCCUACGGGAGGCAGCAGUGGGGAAUAUUGCACAAUGGGCGCAAGCCUGAUGCGGCCAUGCCGCGUGUGUGAAGAAGGCCUUCGGGUUGUAAAGCACUUUCAGCGAGGAGGCGUUACUCGCAGAAGAAGCACCGGCUAACUCCGUGCCAGCAGCCGCGGUAAUUC
rnacentral:rRNA from 1 species